UUUCCGUAGGUGAACCUGCGGAAGGAUCAUUACAGAGAUCAUGCCCUCACGGGUAGACCUCCCACCCUUUGUUAUACCUACCUUUGUUGCUUUGGCAGGCCGCCUUCGGGCUCCCGGCUUCGGCUGGGGUGUGCCUGCCAGAGGACCCCAAACUCUGAAUGUUAGUGUCGUCUGAGUACUAUCUAAUAGUUAAAACUUUCAACAACGGAUCUCUUGGUUCUGGCAUCGAGAAGAACGCAGC
rnacentral:misc_RNA from 1 species